ensembl:lncRNA
CAUUAACACAAUGACUACUGAGGAACAUGUUAUUUAAUUUCCAUGUAAUUAUAAAGUUUUCAAAGUUCUCCUAUUAUUGACUUCUAAUUUUAUGCCAUUGUGAUUUGGGAAGACACUUGAUAUGAUUUCUGUCUUCUUAAUAUUUGUUAAGACUUGUUUUAUGGCCUAACAAGGAUUGAUCCUGGAGACUGUUUCAUGGACAGUUAAGAAUGUUUAUUCUGUGGCUGCUGGACAGAAUAUUCUAUAAAUGUCUGUAAGAUAUUUUGGGCCUAGGUAUAGUUUAAGUCCCAUGUAUCCUUAACUUUCUGUCUGGAUAAUCUGUCUGCUGGUGAAUAUUUGGUGUUAAAUCCACUAGUAUUACAGGUUGAACAUCUCAAAUUCAAAAAUCUCAAAUCUGAAUUGCUCCAAAAUCUGAAACUUUUUGAGCACCAACACGACACCCUAAGAAAAUGCUCAUUGGAUCAUUUAAGUCUUUUAAUUUUCCUAUUUGAGAUGUUUAAAGAGUAUAAUGAAAAUAUGUUAAAAUAUGAAAAACCCAAAAUCUCAAAUAUCUGGUCUCAAGCAUUUCAGACUAAGGGAUAUUCAACCUGUAUUUUAUCACAGUCUCUGUCUUCAGAUCUAUUAAUAUAACUAGGAGCAUGGGCGACUAAUACUACUUUGCAAUGAUUUGCCCUGCAUUUAUCUGCCUUCUGGAGGAAAAUAUUUUUUAAUGGCAUUGGCCUGGUAUUAUGAGUCAUGAUAGAAAAGCCAAAAUCUCACAUAAGUUACCAAAAAUAAAAACAAACCCAAACUAAACAUGGGAUAAUACCUACCCACUUAACUCUAUUUCAUCUAUUCAACAAUAUCCUUUUUUAUUUUUAGGCAGGCCUACCUUGUGCUGAUAAUAAAGGUAAUAGAUGUUUGGGCUAUGUCAAUGAGCCAAAGAAACUAGAGACAGACAGUAAAAAAAUAAACAUGAAAACCAUGAUAUGUCAGAAGAUAAUGAGGGCUAUGGAAAAAUAUUUUUAAACAGAGCAUAGAUCAAGUCUAUUAAUUUUAAAAAUAGAAAAAAAUAAGAGAGGCUGAGCAUAUGAGAAACGCUCAAAUUUAACUAAGGGGAUUGAAGUGGACCACUGUGUUGAGUAAAUACUUAAAAGAAGUACACAAGUUAGUUUAUGUGGCUAUCUUUGGAAAGAGAAUUCCAGGCAGAGGGAAUAGCUCAUGCAAAGAGCUACAGUGGGAAGAAGCCCACAUAUUGGAGAAAGAACAAGAGGGUCUAGGAGGGCAACUGGAGCUAGAAUGAAGUAAGCCAAGAGACAGUGGUAGGAAAGUAAUUCAGAUAGGUAAGCGGCAGGACUCGGGUAAGAAUAUAGAUCAUGCAGGGCCUUGAGGACCAUUGUAUUGAUAAGAAUUUGGACUUUGAAUUAAAGUGAAUGGAAGAACUAUUGCAGAGUGUAAAGUGAAGGUGUGUCACAGCCUUGCACUUUACUUUCUGUUUUUUUUUUUUCUUCUCUGAAAAAGUAUACUUUGUUCAACAAGGAGAGCAGCAAGGAAACUGAGAGAUGACUGCAGAAAUCCUGUUGAGAAGAUGGUGACUGUGACCAGGUGACUAUGACCAGUCUAAAUAGGCUGACAGCAAAGUGAGUGACAGUGGUCAGAUUCUGGAGUCACACAUACACAAUAUGCUUAUGAAAUAAACUUUUCUCUUUUUAUUAUGAAAAAUUCAAGCACAAAAAUGGAAUAAGGCAAUAAGAAUUUGUUUUCUAGCACCUAGGUCUAACACUCUAGCUAGAUCUAGCCAAAAUAUGUAUUUUUGUAAAGUGUUUGAAAGUUGCAGACAGCCUGUCUCUUCAUUUUGCCUUACUUUAGCAUCAGGAAAGUGGGAAUUCUAUAAUGUCACUUAAUAUCCAGUUCUUUUUCAAAUUACGUGAAUUACUCUAGAAAGAACUGUUUUGACCACAUGAAGAGUGUGUGCGUGGAGGUAUAUAUGAUUCCAAGUCAAGAUCUAAUCCAGGUUUAUGCUUUAUUUGAUUGUUGAAUCUCUUUUAAUAUAGAUGUAGUUCAUUAAUAAAAAGAAUGUAUUUUAGUAUGUUUUGAUCAUCAUUUCAUUCCCUUGAAGAGUUCGGAAACUGUCUUGUAGAAAGUUACCCACAUUAGACUUGUUAGAUUGUUAAUUGUGGUAUUACUUAACUUUCUCAGUAUUUUCUAGAAAUUGAUAGUUAGGUCUAAUGGCCUGACUAAAGGCAAUUUAAAUACUGUUGAUGAGGAGAUUUCACUGGUAACAGCUAUGAACUGGAUAACACAACAUGUGAAGAGGCACAUAAUACUGUGUUAUCUAGCUAUUACAGAUGCUAGAAGGAUGUACAGUCAGAGGCCAUUUGAAACACUGUUUUUAUUCUGAGUGGAAUUCUAACCAUUUGAUAUACAGUUAGAUGACUUUGUUUCCAUUUGUUUUUAAUUGUCAGGUUUAGUUUUGAAUUUGUAAAACAUUUUCACUUUUCACAAGCCAAAAGGUUACUAAUAAGUAUACUUGCAAAAGUCUUUCUCCAUCCCUAUGCUCUCUACCUUAUACUCUUUUACCCCUAUAGAUAAGGGGGUGACAAAAUUUGUAAAAGGCCAAAGAAUAAAUACUGUAGACUUUACAGGCCGUAUGGUCUCUAUGACACUACACAAUUCUGCUGUUGUAGUGAGAAUGCAACCACAGACAAUACAUACCUAAAUGGGUAUGUCUGUGGCGCGAUAGAACUAUAUACAAAAACAUGAUUGUAUUUGUCCUAUGGGUCAUAUUUUGCUGAACUAUGCUAUAGAUAACCAUUUAAAAAAUUUUGAUUCAGCCACAUUCAUUCUGUUUCUUUUUGGUAUCUUAUUUUUCUUCCUUAAACAAAAAUAGUAUAGUAUAUACACUGUUCUAUAUUUUGUUAAUUUUAUUUAAAUCACACACCCCCA